rnacentral:rRNA from 1 species
UGCAAGUCGACGGAUGUACAAUACAUCGUGGCGCACGGUGAGUAAGUAUAGCUACGUACCCUUGGACCGGGAAGCUAUCCGAAGGAUAGGAAUACCGGGAACAUGACCGAAGGCAUCUCUGGUUCUAUCAGCCGCAGGCGCCUGGGAUCGGGCAUAUCGUAUAGCUAGUUGUAGGGUAACGCCUACCAAGCGACGACGGUAGCCGGAUGAGAGGUCGUCGGCCACUCGGGACUGGACACUGCCGGACUCCUAGGGGGGCUGAGUAACGAACUUCCCCAAGCACGAAAGGUGAGGGAGGACGCUGCGGGAGGAUGAGUCCUUCGGAUGUAAACUCUGUCGGGGAUACCAAGUCUGAGGAUCCCAAAGGAAAGGCGGCUACUCUGUGCCGCAGCCGCGUAAUACAGAGCCUCGAGCUUAGGCGGAUCACUGGGCUAAAGCGUGGUAGGCGGA